rfam:Oryza sativa Japonica Group DNA, chromosome 8, cultivar: Nipponbare, complete sequence.
UAUAAAAGGGAUUUUGAGUUUUUGUUUGCACUGUUUAACCACUCGUCUUAUUCAAAAAAUUUUGGAAUUAUUAUUUUAUUUUUUUGUUACUUUAUUAUCCAAAGUACUUUAAGCACAACUUUUCGUUUUUUAUAUUUGCACAAAUUUUUUGAAUAAGACGAGUGGUCAAACAGUGCAAGCAAAAACUCAAAAUCCCUUAUA